rnacentral:lncRNA from 1 species
GUUAUUCAAUAAAACUAAAGAUAAGGCAAACCACACUUUAAGCUCCUAUGAAUCUCCAAUGGAAGAUACCAAAUCCACUCAUUGGAGUUCCUUUAAUUGAAUCUUAGCUCAAAUUAGUACAAAUUUAGGCACCAAGCUCCAAAAAUAUUUAAAAAUCCUAAAUUAUGGAUAGGAUAAUAUGUAAGAUAAAAAUAGAUAAAAGAU